rnacentral:rRNA from 1 species
AACGCGGUUACCUCGCAAGGGGUAGCUGAGUGGCGAACGGGUGAGUAACACGUGGGUGACCUACCUUCGAGUGGGGGAUAACGUCCCGAAAGGGACGCUAAUACCGCAUAACAUCCUGCCUUUGAACAGGUGGAGAUCAAAGCUGGGGAUCGCAAGACCUGGCGCUUGAUGAGGGGCCCGCGUCCGAUUAGCUAGUUGGUGAGGUAACGGCUCACCAAGGCGACGAUCGGUAACCGGCCUGAGAGGGCGGACGGUCACACUGGGACUGAGACACGGCCCAGACUCCUACGGGAGGCAGCAGUGGGGAAUUGUUCGCAAUGGGCGAAAGCCUGACGACGCAACGCCGCGUGGAGGAUGAAGGUCUUCGGAUUGUAAACUCCUGUUGCCCGGGACGAAAUGCUUCAACCUAAUACGUUGAAGUUUGACGGUACCGGGUGAGGAAGCCCCGGCUAACUCUGUGCCAGCAGCCGCGGUAAUACAGAGGGGGCAAGCGUUGUUCGGAAUUACUGGGCGUAAAGGGCGCGUAGGCGGCCUGCUAAGUCGAACGUGAAAUCCCUGGGCUCAACCCAGGAACUGCGUCCGAUACUGGUUGGCUUGAAUCCGGGAGAGGGAUGCGGAAUUCCAGGUGUAGCGGUGAAAUGCGUAGAUAUCUGGAGGAACACCGGUGGCGAAGGCGGCAUCCUGGACCGGCAUUGACGCUGAGGCGCGAAAGCCAGGGGAGCAAACGGGAUUAGAUACCCCGGUAGUCCUGGCCCUAAACGAUGAAUGCUGGGUGUGGCGGGUAUCGAUCCCUG